rnacentral:lncRNA from 1 species
CAGAGAACAAAACACGUAGCGAGUGGUCUGGGACAAAGCACAGGACCCAAACCCUGAUGUUGAAGAAUGGUCUGGAUUGAUGUGGAACUUUGUUCCAGCAGAGCCCAUCCGUUUAUGGUGCAGAGAUUGCCCAGAGCUCAUCUCCCCCGUAUAACCUUACCUGAGAAAGAAGGCUAGAAGAAGAGAGAGAAAAAGGAGGAAUGGCUCUUCUCCAGUGUCAUCGUGGCUGCUUCUGAGAAGACUGACUUCACUACAGAUAUCUAAGGAUAUCUUAUGGUUGUACAUCUUAAGCAUGUUAAUGAUGGUCUUUCUGAGGAGGCAGAGACAUUCCACUUAAUAAAGAUUUAAUUUUUUUUUUUUUUAUAUUUAU